GACGAACGCUGGCGGCGUGCUUAACACAUGCAAGUCGAACGAAGUGGCGAACGGGUGAGUAACGCGUAAUCAACCUGCCCUUCAGAGGGGGACAACAGUUGGAAACGACUGCUAAUACCGCAUACUGAAGGGGGGGAUUGUGUGUGAUUAGCUAGUUGGGGGGGUAACGGCCCACCAAGUCGAUGAUCAGUAGGCGGGCUGAGAGGAAGAACGGCGACAUGGGGACUGGGACGCGGCCCAGACUCCUACGGGAGGCAGCAGAGGGGAAGCUUCCGCAAUGGACGACAGUCUGACGGAGCAACGCCGCGUGAGUGAUGACGGCCUUCGGGUUGUAAAGCUCUGUUAAUCGGGACGCGGUACCGGAAUAGAAAGCCACGGCUAACUACGUGCCAGCCGCCGCGGUAAUUC
rnacentral:rRNA from 1 species